AUACGUAGGGUGCAAGCGUUAAUCGGAAUUACUGGGCGUAAAGCGUGCGCAGGCGGUUUUGUAAGACAGAGGUGAAAUCCCCGGGCCCAACCUGGGAACUGCCUUUGUAACUGCAAGGCUAGAGUACGGCAGAGGGGGAUGGAAUUUCGCGUGUAGCAGUGAAAUGCGUAGAUAUGCGGAGGAACACCGAGGGCGAAGGCAAUCCCCGUGGACUGUGCUGACGCUCAUGCACGAAAGCGUGGGGAGCAAACAGGAUGAGAUACCCUGGUAGUCCACGCCCUAAACGAUGUCAACUGGUUGUUGGGUCUUCAUUGACUCAGUAACGAAGGUAACGCGUGAAGGUGACCGCCUGGGGAGUACGGCCGCACGGUUGAAACUCAAAUGAAUUGACGGGG
rnacentral:rRNA from 1 species